ensembl:lncRNA
CCUGGUGCGUGGGGAUUCCCGCGGCCGUGGCCACUACCCGGCCUGCCCCGCGGCAAGAUGGCGGUCUGAAGGCAGUGGGCAGCGGCAGAAACUGAAGACUCAGGGGCCCCAGGGAUUGGAAGAAAUCACAGUGCCUGCUUGGAAAGAAGAAGAGGUAGCGACUUGCCCCAGCUCAACCCCAGAGCGGGUGAGCCAGAUGGGGAAUUCGGUCUCAGAUGUCUUUGAGGGUCUUUACAUCCGGGCAGAAUUGUCAUCGUUUUCCUUGGCUCCCGGGAGAAGACAGCUUUCCAGGCUUUGAACUGGAAUUGGAAAUGGAGGGUUCUGUCCCCUGUGUCUGUGGCCUUGGGCAGGGCUCUUGUCCUCUGUGUCACUUCAGAAUGGGAGAACGCCACCUGUGCUGUGGGCCUCACUAAGCUACAAGGAUUGAAGGAAAUACAGCUGAAGGGAAAGCACUUCUGGGAGGGUACAGCACAGUGCGGAUGGAGUGAUUUUGCCCGUUUGUCAGGGAACAGUGCGUUGUCAUCAUAAACGUGGUGUGGUACCUCGUUGAAAAUACCAACCGUACAGAAAAAUCUACAAAAUUUAAAGCAAAAAGACCUUCCCUUUCUUCCCCCACUGCUCCUGUCUAAGCCCUUUCCCAAAGACAGGGAAUACUGUUAACCAUUUAUCCUGUAUCCUUCUGAUCAUUCUAAUGUAUUAAUACUUCCAGACAUUCCCUAUCAUGUAUUGCCUGUAAAAUAAACACAACUUAAUAG